UGGGGAAUUUUGGACAAUGGGGGCAACCCUGAUCCAGCCAUGCCGCGUGCGGGAAGAAGGCCUUCGGGUUGUAAACCGCUUUUAGCCGGGAAGAAAAGGCACGGGCUAACACCCUGUGUUCUUGACGGUACCGGCGGAAUAAGCACCGGCUAACUACGUGCCAGCAGCCGCGGUAAUACGUAGGGUGCGAGCGUUAAUCGGAAUUACUGGGCGUAAAGCGUGCGCAGGCGGUUCGCUGUGUCCUGUGUGAAAGCCCCGGGCUUAACCUGGGAAUGGCAUGGGAAACUGGCGGGCUGGAGUGUGGCAGAGGGGGGUGGAAUUCCGCGUGUAGCAGUGAAAUGCGUAGAGAUGCGGAGGAACACCGAUGGCGAAGGCAGCCCCCUGGGCUAACACUGACGCUCAGGCACGAAAGCGUGGGGAGCAAACAGG
rnacentral:rRNA from 1 species